GUUGGGCCUGGUGGCAGACACCUGUAAUCCCAGCUAUCAGGAGACUGAGGCAGGAGGAUCACAAGUGCAAGGUCAGUCUGGAUAACUUAGACUUAGUGAGACCUUGCCUCAA
rnacentral:sRNA from 1 species